GAUAAACGCUGGCGGCGUGCAUAACACAUGCAAGUCGAAUGAAGUGGCGAACGGGAGAGUAACACGUGAGUAACAUGCCUUACACAAGGGGAUAGCCUAUGGAAACGAAGAUUAAUACCCUAUGGCGUAAGAUGGACUUACGUCUGAUUAGCUAGUUGGUGAGAUAAAGGCCCACCAAGGCAACGAUCAGUAGCAGGAUGUGGAACAUGUACGACAACAUUGGGACUGGGACACGGCCCAAACAUUACGGAAGGCAGCAGUGGGGAAUUUUGCACAAUGCGGGAAACCCUGAUGCAGCCACGCCGCGUGAUUUAGAAGGCCUUCAGGUUGUAAGAAUCUUUUUUAUGGGAAGCGGUACCAUAAGAAGAAGGUCCGGCUAAAUACGUGCCAGCAGCCGCGGUAAUAC
rnacentral:rRNA from 1 species